GCAGGAGGAGGGACACGCCUGUCCAGAUAAUUAAGACACGUGCUUGAGAGACAGGCAGCCCUGCCUUCACCCCCAGCCUGGGAGCCCUCUUAAGGGCUGCCCUUCAGCUUGGCUUUGAGCGCCACUUCUCCGCUGGAGACACCUGUGGCUGUCCUCUCCCUUCUGCCUUUCUCCAGGACUGGGAAACAGCGGGACCACGCCCACUGGGGGCUCCUCUCCCCCCUCCUGUUCCCCACCUACCAUCCACAGGCCACUACAUCUGCCUCUUCCCAGAAAGAAUGCAUGCCCCACGUUCAAGGCUACAGCGAGCAGCAGGACUGUACUGAAGGUUCCAGAACAGAGCCGGGAAUGUGGAUUUUAUUGCCAAGUUCUACAACCUACCUACCCUCUCACUCUAAAGAGGAAGUGCCCAUGCUGAAAAAGACUUACGAAAUCAGAAACUUCCUGAAGUGUGUACAUACAUGGAUCAUUUGACCAGCAGAAGGUUCAUCAUUUAUGAUACUAACAGAAUGGCCCAGAAUGGCUGGUCUGGCAAAGUUGCUGAGGCUGGCUUCAAAUUUAUGAUCCUCUGGGCUGGGGAUGUGGCUCAAGCGGUAGCGCGCUCGCCUGGCAUGCGUGCGGCCCGGGUUCGAUCCUCAGCACCACAUACAAACAAAGAUGUUGUGUCCGCCA